UGCUGUGAACUCGAAGAGUAGGGCGGGACACGUGGUAUCCUGUCUGAAUAUGGGGGGACCAUCCUCCAAGGCUAAAUACUCCUGACUGACCGAUAGUGAACCAGUACCGUGAGGGAAAGGCGAAAAGAACCCCGGCGAGGGGAGUGAAAAAGAACCUGAAACCGUGUACGUACAAGCAGUGGGAGCCUCUUUAUGGGGUGACUGCGUACCUUUUGUAUAAUGGGUCAGCGACUUAUAUUCUGUAGCAAGGUUAACCGUAUAGGGGAGCCGAAGGGAAACCGAGUCUUAACUGGGCGUUAAGUUGCAGGGUAUAGACCCGAAACCCGGUGAUCUAGCCAUGGGCAGGUUGAAGGUUGGGUAACACUAACUGGAGGACCGAACCGACUAAUGUUGAAAAAUUAGCGGAUGACCUGUGGCUGGGGGUGAAAGGCCAAUCAAACCGGGAGAUAGCUGGUUCUCCCCGAAAGCUAUUUAGGUAGCGCCUCGUGAACUCAUCUUCGGGGGUAGAGCACUGUUUCGGCUAGGGGGCCAUCCCGGCUUACCAACCCGAUGCAAACUACGAAUACCGAAGAAUGUUAUCACGGGAGACACACGGCGGGUGCUAACGUCCGUCGUGAAGAGGGAAACAACCCAGACCGCCAGCUAAGGUCCCAAAGUCAUGGUUAAGUGGGAAACGAUGUGGGAAGGCACAGACAGCCAGGAUGUUGGCUUAGAAGCAGCCAUCAUUUAAAGAAAGCGUAAUAGCUCACUGGUCGAGUCGGCCUGCGCGGAAGAUGUAACGGGGCUAAACCAUGCACCGAAGCUGCGGCAGCGACACUAUGUGUUGUUGGGUAGGGGAGCGUUCUGUAAGCCGUUGAAGGUGUGCUGUGAGGCAUGCUGGAGGUAUCAGAAGUGCGAAUGCUGACAUAAGUAACGAUAAAGCGGGUGAAAAGCCCGCUCGCCGGAAGACCAAGGGUUCCUGUCCAACGUUAAUCGGGGCAGGGUGAGUCGACCCCUAAGGCGAGGCCGAAAGGCGUAGUCGAUGGGAAACAGGUUAAUAUUCCUGUACUUGGUGUUACUGCGAAGGGGGGACGGAGAAGGCUAUGUCAGCCGGGCGACGGUUGUCCCGGUUUAAGCAUGUAGGCGGAGGUUCCAGGUAAAUCCGGUACCUUGUUAACGCUGAGGUGUGAUGACGAGGCACUACGGUGCUGAAGUGAUAAAUGCCCUGCUUCCAGGAAAAGCCUCUAAGCAUCAGGUAACACGAAAUCGUACCCCAAACCGACACAGGUGGUCAGGUAGAGAAUACCAAGGCGCUUGAGAGAACUCGGGUGAAGGAACUAGGCAAAAUGGUGCCGUAACUUCGGGAGAAGGCACGCUGAUAUGUAGGUGAAGCCCCUGCGGGCGGAGCUGAAAUCAGUCGAAGAUACCAGCUGGCUGCAACUGUUUAUUAAAAACACAGCACUGUGCAAACACGAAAGUGGACGUAUACGGUGUGACGCCUGCCCGGUGCCGGAAGGUUAAUUGAUGGGGUUAGCGGCAACGCGAAGCUCUUGAUCGAAGCCCCGGUAAACGGCGGCCGUAACUAUAACGGUCCUAAGGUAGCGAAAUUCCUUGUCGGGUAAGUUCCGACCUGCACGAAUGGCGUAAUGAUGGCCAGGCUGUCUCCACCCGAGACUCAGUGAAAUUGAACUCGCUGUGAAGAUGCAGUGUACCCGCGGCAAGACGGAAAGACCCCGUGAACCUUUACUAUAGCUUGACACUGAACACUGGUCCUUGAUGUGUAGGAUAGGUGGGAGGCUUUGAAGCGUGGACGCCAGUCUGCGUGGAGCCAACCUUGAAAUACCACCCUUUAAUGGCUGGUGUUCUAACGUAGACCCGUAAUCCGGGUUGCGGACAGUGUCUGGUGGGUAGUUUGACUGGGGCGGUCUCCUCCCAAAGAGUAACGGAGGAGCACGAAGGUUGGCUAAUCCUGGUCGGACAUCAGGAGGUUAGUGCAAUGGCAUAAGCCAGCUUGACUGCGAGCGUGACGGCGCGAGCAGGUGCGAAAGCAGGUCAUAGUGAUCCGGUGGUUCUGAAUGGAAGGGCCAUCGCUCAACGGAUAAAAGGUACUCCGGGGAUAACAGGCUGAUACCGCCCAAGAGUUCAUAUCGACGGCGGUGUUUGGCACCUCGAUGUCGGCUCAUCACAUCCUGGGGCUGAAGUAGGUCCCAAGGGUAUGGCUGUUCGCCAUUUAAAGUGGUACGCGAGCUGGGUUUAGAACGUCGUGAGACAGUUCGGUCCCUAUCUGCCGUGGGCGCUGGAGAAUUGAGGGGGGCUGCUCCUAGUACGAGAGGACCGGAGUGGACGCAUCACUGGUGUUCGGGUUGUCAUGCCAAUGGCACUGCCCGGUAGCUAAAUGCGGAAGAGAUAAGUGCUGAAAGCAUCUAAGCACGAAACUUGCCCCGAGAUGAGUUCUCCCUGAGACCUUGAGUCUCCUGAAGGAACGUUGAAGACUACGACGUUGAUAGGUCGGGUGUGUAAGCGCAGCGAUGCGUUGAGCUAACCGAUACUAAUGAACCGUGAGGCUUAACCUUACAACGCCGAAGCUGUU
rnacentral:rRNA from 1 species